AAGGUGAGCUCUGGUUUGUUUGGUGGAUUUGAGGCGAUUGUUUUUUUCUGCUGGAACCUGUACGAUUCUUUUCCUAUACUUUUUUUCCGUGCUGCUAAUUAUCUGUUGGCUGUAUUUUGCAAUCGACUGACUUCUCUUGAGGCUCCUGCUGCUGUUGUAGCAGUAGAUUGGUGAUGAUGGUGAUGAACACGGAGGUAGUUACCGUGAUGGGUAAAAACCAUGAGCCAGGAGUCCCAGCAGGGCUGCUGAGCUCAAUGGCCUCACCGGCCAGGACGCGGUCCCAGGGGCCCCGAGCAAGAAGAAGCAGAGCUGGUCACCAUACAUCAAGAUUUUAAUACGUUUGAAUACUCUGUCAGCAGGUGACGAAUGCAGUCUCGAUGGACCCCCACCUUACGGAUUGCCACAGAAGUGAGUAACUUUAGAGCUCUCUCUUUGAGUUCCUUUUGUUUUGCUGCCUACAAGUUGGUGACAUUUCCCAACAGGUGGAGAUGCAGUCAAAAAAACGCAUGCGGCGGGCAACAUAAACCCAGGACCUGCGAGAAAAGUUGUCCACUCCGCGUGGGACUCGGGAAGAACCAGGGCAGAACCAGGGCUUAACCUCAGAAGCCGUUGGGAGACUAGCAUGUCGCAGCUGAACCUCCAACACGGUUAGCGAUGAGGAGAUGCUGGAGCAGAGGAAGUGCCAGUGCCAGAAAACAGAGUGCUCACAGGGAGAUGAAUGAAGCCUGGAAACCUUUGCCUUCCACCUUGUGCAGCCACUUCCCUGCAUCUAAUUCCAAGUGUUCUGUUGCAGCUGGGUGUUUAAUAAACUGCAUCAUCUAGUACGUGUCUUA